CCUACGGGUGGCAGCAGUGAGGAAUAUUGGUCAAUGGGCGCGAGCCUGAACCAGCCAAGUAGCGUGAAGGAUGACUGCCCUACGGGUUGUAAACUUCUUUUAUCAAGGAAUAAAGUGAGGCACGUGUGCCUUUUUGUAUGUACUUUAUGAAUAAGGAUCGGCUAACUCCGUUCCAGCAGCCGCGGUAAUACGGAGGAUCCGAGCGUUAUCCGGAUUUAUUGGGUUUAAAGGGAGCGGAGAUGGGUUGUUAAGUCAGUUGCGAAAGUUUGCGGCUCAACCGUAAAAUUGCAAUUGAUACUGGAAGCCUUGAGUACAGUUGAGGUAGGCGGAAUUCGUGGUGUAGCGGUGAAAUGCUUAGAUAUCACGAAGAACUCCGAUUGCGAAGGCAGCCUACUAACCUGCCACUGACAUUGAUGCUCGAAAGUGUGGGUAUCAAACAGGAUUAGAUACCCGGGUAGUC
rnacentral:rRNA from 1 species